rnacentral:rRNA from 1 species
CCUACGGGGGGCUGCAGUGGGGAAUAUUGCACAAUGGGCGCAAGCCUGAUGCAGCCAUGCCGCGUGUGUGAAGAAGGCCUUCGGGUUGUAAAGCACUUUCAGCGGGGAGGAAGGCGUUAAGGUUAAUAACCUUGUCGAUUGACGUUACCCGCAGAAGAAGCACCGGCUAACUCCGUGCCAGCAGCCGCGGUAAUACGGAGGGUGCAAGCGUUAAUCGGAAUUACUGGGCGUAAAGCGCACGCAGGCGGUCUGUCAAGUCGGAUGUGAAAGCCCCGGGCUCAACCUGGGAACUGCAUUCGAAACUGGCGGGCUAGAGUCUUGUAGAGGGGGGUAGAAUUCCAGGUGUAGCGGUGAAAUGCGUAGAGAUCUGGAGGAAUACCGGUGGCGAAGGCGGCCCCCUGGACAAAGACUGACGCUCAGGUGCGAAAGCGUGGGGAGCAAACAGGAUUAGAUACCCCGGUAGUC